CUACGGGCUGCUCCAGUGGGGAAUAUUGCACAAUGGAGGAAACUCUGAUGCAGCAACGCCGCGUGGAGGAUGACACUUUUCGGAGCGUAAACUCCUUUUAUAUAGGAAGAAGAUGACGGUACUAUAUGAAUAAGCGCCGGCUAACUCCGUGCCAGCAGCCGCGGUAAUACGGAGGGCGCAAGCGUUACUCGGAAUCACUGGGCGUAAAGAGCGUGUAGGCGGAUUAAAAAGUCAGAAGUGAAAUCCUAUAGCUUAACUAUAGAACUGCUUCUGAAACUCUUAAUCUAGAAUAUGGGAGAGGUAGAUGGAAUUUCUGGUGUAGGGGUAAAAUCCGUAGAGAUCAGAAGGAAUACCGAUUGCGAAGGCGAUCUACUAGAACAUUAUUGACGCUGAGGCGUGAAAGCGUGGGGAGCAAACAGGAUUAGAUACCCUCGUAGUC
rnacentral:rRNA from 1 species